rnacentral:misc_RNA from 1 species
CGAGCCUGCUCGCGAUAGCGGUAGACCUAUCGGUCUCAAAUGUUGACUGACACACCGCUAUCGCGAGCAGGCUCG